rnacentral:lncRNA from 1 species
UUUUUGGUUUCAUCAAUAAUUUCUUCAACUUUAACAACCACUAAUAACCACUUAAUCUUUUAUUUACUAACAAAACAGCACCUUCUCAGCUUUCACCUAUUCUAAUUCAUUUUAAAUCAAUCAAAAUGGAGAUUUCUGUAACGCCCUAAUAGUCCCACAUCGGAUGGGAUAUUGAUUUCGAUCAGUUUAUAUGAGACCUCCACGCUAAUAAUAAUAACUGGGCUUAAGCAUUUUGAGCUGAUGGUUUGGGCCCAACGAGUUAUUGUUGCUAGCGGGUCAGGUUGUUGCAAUUGGUAUCAGAGACGAAUAUCAGCCGGAAGUGUGAGAACUAAGUGCUAUGCGGGACUAAGUGCUACACCAACGGGUUUGGUGGGAGCCACCUCUUGAACCCUUAGGAGUCACAUCUAGAAUCUCACAUCGCCUGGUAAUGGUCCAAAUCUGUCUGUCUGUGAUCUGGUUUGGACCCGACGAGGAUGUCAGGGUCUAAAUAUGGAGAGUUUGUAACGCCCCAAUAGUCCCACAUCGAAUGGAAUACUGAUUUCGAUUGGUAUUUCAACGACCCGACCCGGCCUAAAAUGUUUAAGUCCAGUUAUUAUUACUAGCAUUCUGGGGGCGUUACAAUUUCAAUAAAUCAACAGUCGUUCUGAAUGACAUAACAGACGCUAUUCGCUUUUCAAUUGAAAGAACUAAUACAAGAUGAAAGUUCAGAAAGUCUCUGUAUACACAAUUGACCUUUUAUGGUGCAUUAUCUUUUUCUUUCUUUUUUUUUUAUUUCUACAAUUAUCCUUAGGAGUCACCUCUAGAAUCUCACAUCGCCUGGUAAUGGUCCAGAUCUGUCUGUCUGUGAUCUGGUUUGGACCCGACGAGGAUGUCAGGGUCUAAAUAUAGAGAGUUUGUAACGCCCCAAUAGUCCCACAUCGAAUGGAAUACUGAUUUUGAUUGGUAUUUCAACGACCCGACCCGGCCCAAAAUGCUUAAAUUCAGUUAUUAUUACUAGCAUUCUGGGGGCGUUACAAUUUCAAUAAAUCAACAGUCGUUCUGAAUGACAUAACAGACGCUAUUC